CCUCUUGAGAUUCAUAGGACUCUUGGCCUACAUUACUCAUCUCUUUUUAUUUUCUCUAUGCACAGAAGCCCCAAGCCAACAACCUGGAGAACCUGAACAAGCCCCAAGCCAACAACCUAGUGAACCUGAACAAGCCCCAAGCCAACAACCUGGAGAACCUGAAC